UACGUCUACUGAUGCUAAUACCACAGCAC
rnacentral:piRNA from 1 species